rnacentral:rRNA from 1 species
ACGUAGGGUGCGAGCGUUAAUCGGAAUUACUGGGCGUAAAGCGUGCGCAGGCGGUUCGUUAAGUUCGUUGUGAAAGCCCCGGGCUCAACCUGGGAAUGGCAAUGGAAACUGGCGGGCUGGAGUAUGGCAGAGGGGGUGGAAUUCCGCGUGUAGCAGUGAAAUGCGUAGAGAUGCGGAGGAACACCGAUGGCGAAGGCAGCCCCCUGGGCCAAUACUGACGCUCAGGCACGAAAGCGUGGGGAGCAAACAGGAUUAGAUACCCUGGUAGUCCACGCCCUAAACGAUGCUCACUAGGUGUUGGGGAAGCGAUUCCUUGGUACCGAAGCUAACGCGUGAAGUGAGCCGCCUGGGGAGUACGGCCGCAAGGUUA